AGGAGCUGCGGGAUGUAACGGUCACUGGGCGAGGACGGAGCGCUGCUGCCAUCGCUGCUGCCAUCACUGCGCUGCCCUCCGUGUGGGCUGUGCCGGAAUAUGGCACGGGGUUGUCUCACACAACUGCUUUCGGCAAACCAGUGUCAUUUCUGUGUCCGUUACCGUGUAUAAGGCUCAUCUGCACGGCUCUGCUUUGCAAGUGAAGGAACUUGCUGCUGUGGCACCUCACUGACAUCCCAGCGGCCGUUCUGUUCUGCCACGGCGACCUGAUGGGGAUGGCGCCUCGUUUCUUUGAGAGUCUGUCAUGGUUUUGUGUUGUUGCUGGACAGAGUCCAUUUGUUAAACCAAACAAGAAAUACAGCUGAGGAAACGUGUGAAAAGGCUUGAAAAAUAGAAUAAGGAGAGAUGUACAUCAGUCUCAAGCCAGAAAUAGACACUUUUGGUUCUCAUGGAGCAGCAGUAGAAGCUCAGGAGGUGAGCAGUCAUCUGGCAUGAUUGACAUUGAUUUUCUGCUUCAGAAAGCUUCUAACAGAGAAGACUAUAACAAAAAAAAACAACAGAAUGAGGUCCUUGCUCCUGAAAGACUAAGUCCAAUCUGAUGGUGCUGCAGGGAUGGACAAUGAUGCCAAUCUGCAACAUGAACAUACAUGCAGUGUGAGUCAAAGCUCAUACUGGAGGUUGGCAUUAAUCCACUAUUGGUGCUGACCAGCCCUGGAGAGAUCAGAAAAAAACACAACAAAAAACAACAGCCAAAAAACCCAAAGCUAUGCAGAAACACAAACUGCAGAUCUCCUCCAGCGUUUGGCAGCGAUUCCUUCAGCAUGAGCAGCAGAUGCUAAAUCAUUUCAGAAGAGGGAGGGAUACAAGGUAUGUGAAAAAUCAUGGAUUUUCAGUUCUCUGCACUAAAGAUAGCGCAGCUGGGUGACAGCCCUGCUCUUACUGCAGUGCUUUUUGCUGAGGGCUUGAACAAUAUUCUGUACGUUUAAUGUCAGCCGGGCAGUUCCCUACCCCUCUCCCCCAGACACCACAGGAUAAAACGCUGUAUCUGCUUCAAAAGAAUGGGAUUUUUCACCUGUCUCGCAUUCAGAAGCCUGUUAAUACUUGCUGUAACAUUUCCAGCAGUCAUUAUCCCUCCCUCUUUGCAGCUUCACAUUUCUCAAGAGAAUGAGUGCACCAUAGGUAUGCCCAGCAAUUCUAAUAAUGUACUGUUGCACACCCAUGAAAAAACUACAUCUUUGUUGGAAACGUUUAGUCUGUCCAAUUAAUGUAUUUUAUACACCGUGGACUUUCCCAUUGAAACACAGAACAGUAUCUUCAAAAGCCAGUAUGUAUGUUUUGUGGGUUUUCAGAGUAUCUGUCAGAUUACGUUUGUACGCCUGCAUCAAAGCAGUGCAUACAGCUUAUCACACCACCAUUACCUUGCACAGAAUGACACCUCUGAACACUGUGGAUAUGCAGGGUCUUUAUUUUUGAUAUUUUGCUCGGCCAGCUUGUGUAGCAGCACAGCAUUUUCCUCAGUAUUGCAAGCCCAUCAUCAAAACGUGUUACAUAAAAUAACGUAUGGAAAGCUUUCGUGGUGAACGGAUCCUGCACUUCAGUUUCACCCCUAUGUGGCAUCUAUCGGCCUCACCCAACACUUCAACAAUGCAGAUCUGACUGUGGAGGUUCCCAUCCAUAGCACUGCAGCAGCAGCCAGAACAGGCUGUGCCACGCUCUGAGCAGCCCUGCUAAUGCUGCUUCCUCAAGGAAAACCACAUGGCAUCAUUUCACCAGUGCUUCUCAGCACAGUCCAUUACAGUGUCCCCAACAGCGUUAUUAUCCUUCAGUGUUAUUCCUGCUCCCAUAUUAUGCUGAAUUUCCUGUCGUGGGUCUCUGGUCUCCCAUCAGCACCUCAUCCUUACCAGAAAGAGGCAGCUACCUGUAUGUUCCAACAGAACAGAAACCUCCAUACAUGCAAGACUGAGGAUUUUCACUUCUUUCUCCCUUUACAUCCUUUCAAGGACGUUAUUAUCAAAUGCAGAAGAGACAAAGCCACAGAAUGCAAAGGAAUUUAAACUGCGCAGAACAGAAAGAGAAGCAUUUGGGGCUCACUGUGCUGAGUUGCCUUGCUUUUGUACUGUGCUAUUUCCCCCACCUACAAGCAGCCUUUUUGCUGCAGCACACAGCAAGCAGCAGCAAUUUCUCGCUGAUAGCCGCAGCGCUGCCAGAGCCAUGCCUGCAGCACGCAGCCAGCGAGCACAGAUCCCACAAGUGGCUCCUUCUGCCUGCUGGGAGGGCAUGGAGGGUACGGACUCAUACUUGUCAUUGUCAUGCUCUCUUUCUCAUGCAGCAACUAAUAGUGGCAGCAGGAUCACACAAGCACAACCAGCAUCACACAAAACGCAGAAAGCCACCAGCUGUCUUUUGAACAAUGUAUUGGGAUAUAAAAACAGAACAAUAAUCAGGAUUUAGUGAAGUUACCAUCUUUCAUUAAUGGAAACAAGAUGGCUUCUCUCGUUACAAGAAGUACCAGAACAAUUUUAAAAUAGAAUCUCACCCAGCUGUGAGAGCAGCAUGAGGACACUCCUUGCUGCUGCUGAGAGGAAGGCCACGUCCCCACAGCACACUGACUUCUUUGCUUUAUUCAGACCUUAGGCUCAUUGUGGAGGUGAGAGCCCUCAGUGAGCUACUCCCGCCUGCCUCAUCAUCAUAUCUGCACCCGAUCACAGCUCUGGAGCUUCCAGCAAUCGGUGCUGCAGUUCACAGCAGUGCUGCUCCAAGAAGCAAGGACUGCAGUGGUCACAGGGAGAAAUUCUGCUAUUUUGCAGCUCUAGCUGUUGAAAACGGCAGCGUUGGAGUCAUUCAAUUGCACAUUUUGGAAGAGAUGUUUCUCUGGUUUAAAGCAUCUUCCUGUAUCGGAUAACCAGACACAGGUUAAUCCUAAUUCUCUGGUGACAGAAUUUUUGAAGUGAUGGUUAAUGGCUGGGAAAAAUCUCAGGCACCGGGCCUAACUCCUGGCUGGGAUUUGUCAUCGUGCCUGUCUGGGCUGUACUGCUGGCUGUGGUGUGCAACGGGCAGGGGCUGUGCAGGAGCAAAGUACGGGGUGCUGGCUGCUGACCACCUGCAGCCACUCCUUCCAGCUCUGGGAGAGGAUCACCUGGAACUGCCGUCACAUUCUCGUUUUCCUCUAACACUGAGCCUCUCCCUAACCACCGCUGCACCUGCUCGCUGUGUGCUCUGUGCUAUCGGUACCGCUGCCGUGUUUGAGUUCUGAACAGGAAUAAAAGCGGCCCUUGGAGCUGUCA